rnacentral:rRNA from 1 species
CGAGGGGGGCAAAUGUUGUUCGGAAUCACUGGGCGUAAAGGGAGCGUAGGCGGGCUUUUAAGUUAGGUGUUUAAUCCCGGGGCCCAACCCCCGGACAGGCACCUAAAACUGGGAGUCUUGAAUAGUGGAGAGGACGGCGGAAUUGGGGGUGUAGCGGUGGAAUGCGUAGAGAUCCCCAAGAACACCAGUUGCGAAGGCGGCCGUCUGGACACAUAUUGACGCUGAGGCUCGAAAGCAUGGGGAGCAAACAGGAUUAGAUACCCUGGUAGUCCAUGCUAUAAACGAUGAAUACUAGGUUUUGGGCCCGUCAACGGUCCAGAGCCGCAGCUAACGCGUUAAGUAUUCCGCCUGGGGAGUACGCUCGCAAGAGUG